GGAGGCUUCGGAGAGGGAGUCAGUGGCAUUCGGAAAGGCACCAAAAAUAAUUAUAUAUAUGGUUUGUAGCUAGCUGCGUGACGUGCGUGACGAAAAAAAAGUAUCAUGAUUUCCGGUUGAUCCAUCCAGAGGUUGCGAAAAGAAAUAUAAACUUUAACAGUGCAAUAGCGGGAUUUCAGCCUGGUUGGCUCGUGGACAAGGUUAUCGAAGCAGUUCUGUGGCGCCUGACCUUAAUCCACCGAGAUAUUUUUGUGGCACACACAACUAUGGCUGAAAUGGUAAAGCGACAUUCCAGCACUCGCUUGCUUUGGUCAGGAGAGAACUUUACCCAGAUUUCUAAAAUAUUUAUACCCAUGAACAAGUCUGGAAAUCACUGGACACUUCUGGUUCUGGGUCGAAAGCAGAAAACCAGAUAUUAUUUCGAUCCCAUGAAUGGGCGUGUACACACCAUUUUGAGCACCUCAGUUCCUAAGAGCUAACUGAUAGAACUGAUCGAUGACAUCAGUGCCGUUGCCGAUCUCAAAACGGGAUGGAAUUGCAAGUCAUGGCUAUGUGUUGAACCACUACAUUACACACAGACCGAUAGCUAUAACUGUGGUGUGAUUGUAUGUCUUUUUGCUCGGUGUUUGUGUGAGGGGUUGGAUAUCAAUGGAAGUUAUGAUGUGGACAUGGAAAGGGAAAGAAUAACGUCUGUCAUAUUUGGCUCGUGUUAUGAUGACCUUGAUUGGAGAAAUACCGCGGUCUGUAAGAUUUGCAAAGACGACGAUGGAGAGGAUUGGCUUGGGUGCGAUAGCUGUGGCCAGUUUUUCCAUGCAAGUUGUCUGGAUGUGCCUUUCGCGGAGACGCUUACGCAACAUUUCACCUGCCCUUAGGGUGGCUGCUACAAGUAGAGUUUAAAUUUUAAAGCUGACUAUAACAAUGAACCAGAUGAUGAACUUAAUGUCAUGUACAGAUCUUAAUUUGUAAGAUAAGAAAUACAGUCCUUGGUAGUAGAUAGAUUUUCACGAGCGUCAAUGGUGCAGAAUCGUAACUUGAUGGAGCCAACAGUGGACAACAUCCCAGAAUUCAAACUUUGUGAUUUUUUUCUCGGCUUAAACGCUAAGUCAGUUCUUCAAUUGAAUAGGAAGAAAAACAUUUCGAACGGAAAACAGAAUUAUUUGCACGUGUGGAUCUUUUGAGAAAAGGUCUCCUAAACGAGUGGUCUUGAUUAUAAAUAUUUAAGGAAUGGUAAAUACAUUAGCCUUAACAUGGCUGUUUCUCGAAGCUCAGUGUUUUCCUACUUGCCUUUUUUCCACGUGAAUUGGGGGCGAUUGAAUAGAUAUAAUAUGCAGUAAAAGAACUUCAGCUGAUAGAAAUUUUAAAUUUCUCAUCUUAGGCUGUGGAUACAAAAUUCAAGUGAAAAGGAAGUCAACUGUGAUUAAUGCUUUGAACAAGUCAAGAUACCUUUUUUUCGUCACACAACAAGUUACAUAACGUUAAUAUCAUUCUUCUCGGAUGCCUUUCCCGGUGUCACCAAUGCCUUUCCCGAUGCUUCCAUUGGUUAAUAGAGCAUUAAAAGUAUUGUUCCAGUUAAAGCUUGAGGAAAAUUGCUUAACUUUUUAAGUAGCGAAGUGUAACUUGGUAACAUUUCGGCUUUACAACACGAUUGUUUUCUGCAACUACAAAACGUACAUUUAAUUCUUCUUGGUACCUUUCGGAUGCCACCGAUGCCUUCAUUGUUUAUUAAAGCAGUAAAAGAUAUAUGUACAAUCAACACUUUUGAAUU